UACGGAGGAUCCUAGUGUUAUCCGGAUUUAUUGGGUUUAAAGGGAGCGUAGGCGGGAGGUCAAGUCAGCUGUGAAAUGUAUCUGCUUAACGGGUACACUGCAGUUGAAACUGGUUUUCUUGAGUGCGUAAGAGGCAGGCGGAAUUCGUUGUGUAGCGGUGAAAUGCUUAGAUAUGACGAGGAACUCCUAUUGCGCAGGCAGCUUACUAAACCACUACUGACGCUCAGGCACGAAGGCGUGGGGAUCAAACAGGAUUAGAUACCCGU
rnacentral:rRNA from 1 species